rnacentral:miRNA from 1 species
UACCUCAUUGACCGGAAGGGAUUCCUUCUGGCCGAUGAGGUAUAACAACCCCAUCGAUCGGAAGGAAUUCCUUCCGGUUGAUGGGGUU